GCUGUGCCUGAGGAAACUUUCUGAGGCCCACCCAGAGGCACCAAGGUCAAGUUUAGUGGUUAUAUCAAGUCUGGGCCUACCCCAAAAGAGACCGUCUCUUUAGAGACUCGGAAAUCUGAGAAAAUUCAGGUGGCUAACGGACAGAAGCUAAGUCAAAAGAAAAAGAUGGGAGCUGGUACCCGCUGACUGGAGGAAAGUUGGGCUUAGAGAAUGUUCUACUCCUCUGCUCUUGCUCUGCCACCUAGUCUAUCUGAGGCCCCUGACCCCAAGAUCCUUUCCACUGUGGGUCUGUUCUUGGGUGUGUGGUAUGUCUUAGGUGGGUGUGUGGUAAGUGUGUCUUAGGUGUAUCUGUUCCUGGGUCUAUGGUGAGUGUGUCUUUCUGGGUGUGUGAUGAGUGUAUCUUAGGUGGGUGUGUUCCUGAGUGUGUGGUGAGUGUGUCUUAGGUGGGUGUGUUCCUGAGUGUGUGGUGAGUGUGUCUUAGGUGGGUGUGUUCCUGAGUGUGUCUUAGGUGGAUGUGUUCCUGAGUGUGUGGUGUGUCUUAGGUGGGUGUGUUCCUGGGUGAGUGGUGAGUGUGUCUUAGGUGGGUGUGUCCCUGGGUGUGGUGAGUGUGUCUUAGGUGUGUCUGUGUUGAGUGUGUUUUAGGAAGAGGGGUGGAGAACAGACAGGAAAGCAAAAAGCAGCUGUGAACUUCUGAGACGGCUGCUAGGAGGAAAGAGCUCCCUCCCCAACACCCCCAAGCCAACUUAGUACUACUGUUCACUUGCUGGAGCCCCACCCUGGGGGGGGUGUCCUUAUUCAAAGUGGCUGCCAAGCACCUAGCCCAGCAAGCUCCACAAACUAGAGCUCAGUUUGUGACAGCAGAUAGAACCCUUCAGGGGACAGGCGGAUGGGACCCUACAGGUGCCCUCUCCUCCCCUGGCAGGGCCCCCCUCCUCCAGCUGGAGCUUAAGUGGAUACUCAAGGCCUGCAUCUGUCUGAGGCCCCAGCCCUGACUUCCUUUCCCAGAACUCUUGGGAGCCCAGGGGAGGGGCAGGGAGGAGUCGCCUGGCCUGGAGAGUGGAGAACAGAGAACGGGAGGGAGGCUGAGUUGGAGCAGAAAACUCUGGGGCCAGAAUUGGGAGUUUCUGGGAUUGCCCCAACUUUAAGGACUCUGUCCAACCUUCUCC
rnacentral:lncRNA from 1 species